GAUGAACGCUAGCUACAGGCUUAACACAUGCAAGUCGAGGGGCAGCAUGGUCUUAGCUUGCUAAGGCCGAUGGCGACCGGCGCACGGGUGAGUAACACGUAUCCAACCUGCCGUCUACUCUUGGACAGCCUUCUGAAAGGAAGAUUAAUACAAGAUGGCUUCAUGAGUCCGCAUGUUCACAUGAUUCAAGGUAUUCCGGUAGACGAUGGGGAUGCGUUCCAUUAGAUAGUAGGCGGGGUAACGGCCCACCUAGUCUUCGAUGGAUAGGGGUUCUGAGAGGAAGGUCCCCCACAUUGGAACUGCGACACGGUCCAAACUGCUACGGGAGGCAGCAGUGAGGAAUACUGGUCAAUGGGCGCAGGCCUGAACCAGCCAAGUAGCGUGAAGGAUUACUGCCCUAGGGGUUGUAAACUUCUUUUAUAAAGGAAUAAAGUCGGGUAUGUAUACCCGUUUGCAUGUACUUUAUGAAUAAGGAUCGGCUAACUCCGUG
rnacentral:rRNA from 1 species